AUUGAACGCUGGCGGCAGGCCUAACACAUGCAAGUCGAGCGAGCGGCGGACGGGUGAGUAAUGUAUGGGAAAAUGCGUGAUGGAGGGGGAUAACGACUGGAAACGGUAGCAAAUAUAGCAAACCAUCAGAUGUGACCAGAUGGGAUUGGCACGUAGGUGGGGUAACGGCUCACCUAGGCGACGAUACCUAGCUGGUCUGGGAGGAUGACCAGCCCCACUGGGACUGAGACACGGUCCAGACUCCUACGGGAGGCAGCAGUGGGGAAUCUUGCACAAUGGGCGCAAGCCUGAUGCAGCCAUGCCGCGUGUGUGAAGAAGGCCUUCGGGUUGUAAAGCACUUUCAGCGGGGAGGCGUUACCCGCAGAAGAAGCACCGGCUAACUCCGUGCCAGCAGCCGCGGUAAUAC
rnacentral:rRNA from 1 species